GACGAACGCUGGCGGCGUGCAUAACACAUGCAAGUCGAACGGUGAAGCGCCUUCCUUUUUGGUGGGUGUGGAUGAGUGGCGAACGGGUGAGUAACACGUGAGUAACCUGCCCCCUUCUUCUGGAUAACCGCAUGAAAGUGUGGCUAAUACGGGAUAUUCUGGGUCUGUCGCAUGAUGGGUCUGGGAAAGAUAUUGUUUCGGUGGGGGAUGGGCUCGCGGCCUAUCAGCUUGUUGGUGGGGUGAUGGCCUACCAAGGCGGUGACGGGUAGCCGGCCUGAGAGGGUGGACGGUCACACUGGGACUGAGACACGGCCCAGACUCCUACGGGAGGCAGCAGUGGGGAAUAUUGCACAAUGGGCGCAAGCCUGAUGCAGCGACGCCGCGUGAGGGAUGGAGGCCUUCGGGUUGUGAACCUCUUUCGCCAGUGAAGCAGGCCUGCCUCGUUUGUGGGUGGGUUGACGGUAGCUGGAUAAGAAGCGCCGGCUAACUACGUG
rnacentral:rRNA from 1 species